UACGUAGGGUGCUAGCGUUACUCGGAAUUACUGGGCGUAAAGGGCGCGUAGGUGGUUCGUCACGUCUGCUGUGAAAGCCCCGGGCUCAACCUGGGAAUGGCAGUGGAUACGGGAGAGCUAGAGUGCGGUAGAGGGUAGUGGAAUUCCCGGUGUAGCAGUGAAAUGCGUAGAUAUCAGGAAGAACACCAAUGGCGAAGGCAGCUCGCUGGGACGGUACUGACGCUGAGACGCGAAAGCGUGGGGAGCAAACAGG
rnacentral:rRNA from 1 species